GUCAAUUUCAUCUUCAUACUAUAGCAUAGCUGUCCCCUUCAUACUUUCCUCGUCAAUUCACUAUCUUAUAGCCUACUUUCGCAAAGCCUAAGCGGUACACAGUGCUCCUGUGGAGGAUGUUUGAUGAGUACUGUUGCCUGAUCUUCAAAGGUGCAGCUUAAAACAGCCACCCUUUACAGACAGUAGCAGAGGACUGGAGAGGUGUCUCACCCAUGGCCUGCUUACCCAUAGCACAGUGCAGAGGAAGGCUUAAGAAGAGAAGCAGUUUGUAAGUAAUCAAACACAAGGGAAAAGCCAGCAGCAACCAUCCUGGC
rnacentral:lncRNA from 1 species